UCCCCCCCAUAGUGUCCUGCAAAUAUUAU
rnacentral:piRNA from 1 species